UACGGGGGGAGCAGGCGUUGUUCGGAUUUACUGGGCGUAAAGGGCGUGUAGGCGGCCACCGCAAGUCGACUGUGAAAUCUCCGGGCUUAACUCGGAAAGGUCAGCCGAUACUGCGGGGCUAGAGUGCAGAAGGGGCAACUGGAAUUCUCGGUGUAGCGGUGAAAUGCGCAGAUAUCAGGAGGAACACCGAUGGCGAAGGCAGAUCUCUGGGCCGUAACUGACGCUGAGGAGCGAAAGCGUGGGGAGCGAACAGG
rnacentral:rRNA from 1 species